rnacentral:rRNA from 1 species
ACGGUACCGUAAGAAUAAGCACCGGCUAACUACGUGCCAGCAGCCGCGGUAAUACGUAGGGUGCAAGCGUUAAUCGGAAUUACUGGGCGUAAAGCGUGCGCAGGCGGUUUUGUAAGACAGAGGUGAAAUCCCCGGGCUCAACCUGGGAACUGCCUUUGUGACUGCAAGGCUGGAGUGCGGCAGAGGGGGAUGGAAUUCCGCGUGUAGCAGUGAAAUGCGUAGAUAUGCGGAGGAACACCGAUGGCGAAGGCAAUCCCCUGGGCCUGCACUGACGCUCAUGCACGAAAGCGUGGGGAGCAAACAGGAUUAGAUACCCUGGUAGUCCACGCCCUAAACGAUGUCAACUGGUUGUUGGGAAUUCAUUUUCUCAGUAACGAAGCUAACGCGUGAAGUUGACCGCCUGGGGAGUACGGCCGCAAGGUUAAAACUCAAAGGAAUUGACGGGGACCCGCACAAGCGGUGGAUGAUGUGGUUUAAUUCGAUGCAACGCGAAAAACCUUACCCACCUUUGACAUGUACGGAAUCCUGCAGAGACGCAGGAGUGCUCGAAAG